rnacentral:rRNA from 1 species
GGAGGAGAAGAAACUAACAAGGAUUCCCCUAGUAACGGCGAGUGAAGAGGGAAGAGCCCAAGAUUGAAAGCUGGCGCCUUCGGCGUCCGCAUUGUAAUCUCAAGAAGUGUUUUCCGCUUCGGACCAUGCCUAAGUCCCUUGGAAAAGGGCAUCAUAGAGGGUGAUAAUCCCGUACAUGGCAUGGAGCGCCCGAAGCUUUGUGAUACGCUUUCUAAGAGUUGAGUUGUUUGGGAAUGCAGCUCAAAAUGGGUGGUAAAUGCCAUCUAAGGCUAAAUAUUGGGGAGAGACCGAUAGCGAACAAGUACAGUGAUGGAAAGAUGAAAAGAACUUUGAAAAGAGAGUUAAACAGUACGUGAAAUUGCCAAAAGGGAAGGGUAGGAGGUCAGAGAUGCGUCGCAGGAUUCAACCUUGCUUUUGCUUGGUGUUUUUCCUGCGUUGCAGGCCAACGUCGGUUUUGGGCACUGGAGAAGGGUGGGAGGAACGUGGCACCUCUCGGGGUGUGUUAUAGCCCCCUACUGGAUACAGCGACCGAGACCGAGGAACGCAGCGUACUCGUAAGAGCGGGCCUUUUGGCACCUUUACGCUUAGGGCGUUGGCAUAAUGGCCCUCUACCACCCGUCUUGAAACACGGACCAAGGAGUCUAACAUGUAUGCGAGUCUUUGGGUGGCAAACCCAUAGGCGCAAUGAAAGUGAAUUCAGGUGGGAUCCGCAAGGUGCACCAUCGACCGAUCCUCACGUCUUUUAAGUCGUGGAUUUGAGUAAGAGCAUACCUGUUGGGACCCGAAAGAUGGUGAACUAUGCCUGAAUAGGGUGAAGCCAGAGGAAACUCUGGUGGAGGCUCGUAGCGGUUCUGACGUGCAAAUCGAUCGUCAAAUUUGGGUAUAGGGGCGAAAGACUAAUCGAACCAUCUAGUAGCUGGUUCCUGCCGAAGUUUCCCUCAGGAUAGCAGAAACUCACAUCAGUUUUAUGAGGUAAAGCGAAUGAUUAGGGGCCUUGGGGAAGUAACUUCCUUAACCUAUUCUCAAACUUUAAAUGUGUAAGAAGCCCUUGUUACUUUAUUGAACGAGGGCAUGCGAAUGAGAGUUUCUAGUGGGCCAUUUUUGGUAAGCAGAACUGGCGAUGCGGGAUGAACCGAACGUUGGGUUAAGGUGCCUAAGUAUACGCUCAUCAGAUACCAGAAAAGGUGUUAUUUAGUCUAGACAGUGGGACGGUGGCCAUGGAAGUCGGAAACCGCUAAGGAGUGUGUAACAACUCAUCCUG